AGAGUUUGAUCCUGGCUCAGGACGAACGCUGGCGGCGUGCCUAACACAUGCAAGUCGAGCGGAGACAGUGAGUAGCUUGCUAUGAGCUGUUUUAGCGGCGGACGGGUGAGUAACGCGUGAGCAACCUUUCCCAGACAGGGGAAUAACACACCGAAAGGUGUACUAAUACCGCAUAAGACCACGGGAUCACAUGGUUCUGAGGUAAAAGAUUUAUCGGUUUGGGGUGGGCUCGCGUCCGAUUAGGUAGUUGGUGAGGUAACGGCCCACCAAGCCGACGAUCGGUAGCCGACCUGAGAGGGUGAUCGGCCACAUUGGGACUGAGACACGGCCCAAACUCCUACGGGAGGCAGCAGUGGGGAAUAUUGGGCAAUGGGGGGAACCCUGACCCAGCAACGCCGCGUGGAGGAAGAAGGUUUUCGGAUCGUAAACUCCUGUCCUUGGAGACGAGUAGAAGACGGUAUCCAAGGAGGAAGCCCCGGCUAACUACGUGCCAGCAGCCGCGGUAAUACGUAGGGGGCAAGCGUUGUCCGGAAUAAUUGGGCGUAAAGGGCGCGUAGGCGGCUCGGUAAGUCUGGAGUGAAAGUCCUGCUUUUAAGGUGGGAAUUGCUUUGGAUACUGUCGGGCUUGAGUGCAGGAGAGGUUAGUGGAAUUCCCAGUGUAGCGGUGAAAUGCGUAGAGAUUGGGAGGAACACCAGUGGCGAAGGCGACUAACUGGACUGUAACUGACGCUGAGGCGCGAAAGUGUGGGGAGCAAACAGGAUUAGAUACCCUGGUAGUCCACACUGUAAACGAUGAAUGCUAGGUGUAGGGGGUAUCGACCCCUUCUGUGCCGCAGUCAACACAAUAAGCAUUCCGCCUGGGGAGUACGGCCGCAAGGUUGAAACUCAAAGGAAUUGACGGGGGCCCGCACAAGCAGCGGAGCAUGUGGUUUAAUUCGACGCAACGCGAAGAACCUUACCAGGUCUUGACAUCCACUUAAACUUACAGAGAUGUAAGGUGUGCUUGCACAAAGUGAGACAGGUGGUGCAUGGUUGUCGUCAGCUCGUGUCGUGAGAUGUUGGGUUAAGUCCCGCAACGAGCGCAACCCUU
rnacentral:rRNA from 1 species